GGAUCUAUUAGCUCAGUUGGUUAGAGCGUGGUACUAAUAAUGCCAAGGUCACAGGUUCGACCCUUGUAUGGACCA
rnacentral:tRNA from 1 species